ACGACCUCAGAGCAGGCGAGACUAC
rnacentral:rRNA from 3 species